rnacentral:rRNA from 1 species
CGAAGGUCCCAAGCGUUAUCCGGAUUUAUUGGGUUUAAAGGGUGCGUAGGCGGGCUAUUAAGUCAGUGGUGAAAGCCCCAAGCUUAACUUGGGAACUGCCAUUGAUACUGAUGGUCUUGAGUACAUUUGAGGUGGGCGGAAUGUGUCAUGUAGCGGUGAAAUGCUUAGAUAUGACACAGAACACCGAUUGCGAAGGCAGCUCACUAAACUGUAACUGACGCUGAGGCACGAAAGCGUGGGGAGCAAACAGGAUUAGAUACCCUGGUAGUCCACGCCCUAAACGAUGAUCACUCGAUGUGUGCGAUAUACUGUACGCGUCUGAGCGAAAGCAUUAAGUGAUCCACCUGGGGAGUACGACCGCAAGGUUG